UACAGAGGUCUCAAGCGUUGUUCGGAUUCAUUGGGCGUAAAGGGUGUGUAGGUGGCGCCGUAAGUCGGGUGUGAAAUUUCGGAGCUUAACUCCGAAACUGCAUUCGAUACUGCGGUGCUUGAGGACUGGAGAGGAGACUGGAAUUCAUGGUGUAGCAGUGAAAUGCGUAGAGAUGUGGAGGAACACCGAUGGCGAAGGCAGCCCCCUGGGGUAACACUGACGCUCAUGCACGAGAGCGUGGGGAGCAAACAGG
rnacentral:rRNA from 1 species